CCUUGCCAGGGCUUCCACCCCUCCACAGCACCACCCACCAAUCACAGCGCCGCUCUCAUCCAAGCGCAGCUCCGCCGGGGCCUGCUCGCCAAUCACAGUGCGUCUCUCAGCGUCGGGCUCCGCCCUCCUGCUGUGGGAGGAGGCCCUACACUCCAGGACUCAGCCAGCCCUUCAUCCUCCAGGUGCAGGACUGGUUUUUUUGGUACACAUUUGGAGUCCUUUGGUCAAGAGUUUGGUGUGUAUGCAGAUGAAUGAGAAAGUAGUUCUGUGGGACACAGCACUCCAUAUGAAAUGGCACGCUUACUUAUGUCUGCCUAUUAUAGGGCAGCCCUGACUGAAACAUUCCUACAAUAUAUCCUCAUUGGAUCUCGCCAGCUCCAGGGGCAGAGAUUUUUCAACAUCUGGCUGCUUGAUUGAUCUGCAAUAAAAGAACCCUCUGCCACACAGAAGAAGAUGGAACAACUAGCAGAUCCAAGGACUCUAGUUAAACUAACUACUUAGGGACUGAUCCCAUGAACAUUCUGAAGGCCCAGUGACUUCGCUAGAAGACAAUGUCAUUUAGCACGGAGAGAACUGGACCCUACUCAUCUUUACUAGGAUGCAGAUUUUUUGAAACAUAAUCUGGUUCAAAGGCAUAAUCUUUCAUCGGAGGUUUGGAAACAUUAAUUAAAGCUUGACUCACUCCUUUGAGAGGAUUGUGAGUUCAAGUCCCACGCCUGGACUUCACCUGAUACCCAUUGCUAACACUGCAGCUUAGUGGUAGGAGGAUGCUGUACUAGAAGAGAUUGUCCCCAUUUACAACACUUCAGCAAUCUUCCUUGCAUCCGUUUCAGGAAAAAAAAAUCACUUGUGAUUGUGUGUGAAGAAUGUAAAAGUUAAAGAAUAUAAACGUUAGACCCAGCUCUUCAAUGGCACCUAUCUCUCAUUGAUUUCAAUGGGCGUUGAAACUGCCUAAACAGUUUUGAGGAUUUGAAGCUUAGUACUUUCAUGUUGUUUAUACAGCACCUAACAGGAUGGAGCUCGGAUUUGGAGUAUGGCUUUACUGCAAUCCUGUUACUAUUACUAUUCAAUUUUUCUCUCUCAAAAACAUGAAAAACUGAAUUCACCAUGCUGGGAUUUGAAUCUGUAAUUGCAGAGCAUAACAUUCCAAACCUGCUGCCAAUGUAAAACUGUAUAGACCAGGGAUGGGUAAUGGCAGUCUGGGGACCACAGCCAGAUGAUUUGGCCCAUCAAAGUUAAGAUUUUAACCUUUGUUGUUUUCAUUUAAUAAUCCCCUGCAAAAAAGGUUAGUGGAAGAUUUAUGUUUAAACUUUGUUUUAUUUAAAGGUUGUUUAUAUUUAAGAACACUUCAGUUUUACAGUGUUAGUUGUAUGCUAACAUGCUGUGUUGUAGCAAACACUUCUGAGUUAUGCAACAUGUUGUCUCUAAAAAUAAAUAACAUGGUCCA